AUUGAACGCUGGCGGCAGGCCUAACACAUGCAAGUCGAGCGGAUGAACGGAGCUUGUUCCUGGCUUCAGCGGCGGACGGGUGAGUAAUUCCUAGGAAUAUGCCCCGUUGUGGGUGAUAACAUCCGGAAACGGGUGCUAAUACCGCAUACGUCCAGAUGGAGCAGCUGGGGGGUCUUCGGACCUCACGCUAUCAGAUGACCCUACGUCGGCUUAGCUAGUUUGUGGGGUAAAGGCCUACCAAGGCGACGAUCCGUAGCUGGACUGCGUGGCUGAUCAGUCACACUGGAACUGAGACACGGUCCAGACUCCUACGGGAGGCAGCAGUGGGGAAUCUUGGACAAUGGGUGAAAGCCUGAUCCAGCCAUGCCGCGUGUGUGAAGAAGGUCUUCGGAUUGUAAAGCACGUUAAGUGGGGAGAAAGGGCUGUAAGUUAAUACCUUCCUGUCGUGACGUUACCUAAUUAAUAAGCACCGGCUAACUUCGUG
rnacentral:rRNA from 1 species